rnacentral:SRP_RNA from 1 species
GCGGCUUUCCAGGAAGCGCUCGCCCUCCAGUUUUGAAACUGUGAUGCAUCGCCUGAGGGCAGAAAUUGUGAAGACCAGCCACAGGCCCAGCAGUGUGGGGCAA